rnacentral:rRNA from 1 species
UACGAAGGGGGCUAGCGUUGUUCGGAAUUACUGGGCGUAACGCGUGCGCAGGCGGCCAUCCAAGUCAGUGGUGAAAGCCCGGAGCUCAACUCCGGAACUGCCAUUGAAACUGUUUGGCUCGAGUACGAGAGAGGUGAGUGGAAUUCCCAGUGUAGAGGUGAAAUUCGUAGAUAUCGGGAGGAACACCUGUGGCGAAAGCGGCUCACUGGACCACAACUGACGCUGAGGCGCGAAAGCUAGGGGAGCAAACAGG